CUAUAUGCACCCUGUAGAACCGAAUUUGUGUUUACAAUUAACAACCGCAAAUUCGCCUCUACGGGAAUAUAUGGG
rfam:Salmo salar isolate Sally breed double haploid chromosome ssa22, whole genome shotgun sequence.